AGGCAAGAUCUUGCUCUGUCACCCAGGCUGGAGUGCAGUGGCACCAUCAUAGCUCACUGCAGCCUUGAUCUCCUGGGCUCAAGCAAUCCUCCCACUUCAGCCUCCCAAGCAGCUGGGACUACAGGUUCUCAGGUGAAGCGCCAAGUAUGUCACUGAAAGCCCAGUGGAGUUAAGUGUGCAAAGUCAGUCUGAACAUAUGCUGUAAUGGAUUUGACCUCGAAUAGCACUACAAAGAGAAAUUGCAGAUAACCAUCUGAACUGACUACUGAAGCUUGUAGUUCUGACUCCUGAGAUACAGAGAGAAAAGUGAGACCAAACAGGUGGGAGCAAACAACUCAGAGAGACCAGAAUGAAUACGAGUCUAACUUUAAAAGUAAAUAAAAUUAAAUAAAAAUGAUUUAUUCUAUA